CCGGGCAGGGAGAGGAGGUGGGACGAGGCGGGGCGUUGCGGCCGCCGUGCCAGGGUGACCGGUUUCGCUGUAUUCGAGGUGGCGGGGCGGGCGGAAGGGGCAGGGAGGAGGCCGCGGUGCAGGAUGGCGGCAACAACCUACGAGCGGCUGAAGCUGCAUAUCACACCUGAAAAAUUUUAUGUGGAAGCUUGUGAUGAUGGAACAGAUGAUGUACUUAUCAUCGACCGUGUGUCCACAGAAGUUACACUCUCAGUCAAGAAAGAUAUUCCUCCUUCAGCUGUCACAAGACCAAUAUUUGGUAUACUGGGCACAAUUCAUCUGGUGGCAGGUAAUUAUCUAAUUGUCAUUACCAAAAAGAAAAAAAUAGGUGAAUUUUUCAAUCAUGUAAUCUGGAAAGCAAUAGAUUUUGAUGUCCUUUCUUAUAAGAAGACAAUGUUGCACUUAACUGAUAUUCAGUUACAAGAUAACAAAACUUUCCUAGCAAUGAUAAACCAUGUCUUGAGUGUGGAUGGAUUUUAUUUUUCAACGACAUAUGAUUUGACCCAUACUUUGCAGCGGCUGUCUAACACUAGUCCAGAAUUCCAGGAAAUGAGUCUCUUGGAAAGGGCAGACCAGCGGUUUGUAUGGAAUGGUCAUCUUCUAAGAGAACUUUCUGCUCAGCCAGAGGUCCAUCGGUUUGCUCUUCCGGUAUUAUAUGGCUUUAUUACUAUGCACUCAUGUUCUAUUAAUGGAAAAUACUUUGAUUGGAUUCUCAUCUCGAGGAGGAGUUGUUUCAGAGCUGGUGUCCGCUAUUAUGUAAGAGGAAUUGAUUCUGAAGGCCAUGCAGCUAACUUUGUAGAAACAGAACAAAUUGUGCACUACAAUGGGAGCAGAGCUUCAUUUGUACAGACUCGAGGAUCAAUACCACUUUACUGGUCUCAAAGACCAAAUCUCAAGUACAAACCACUGCCACUGAUCAACAAAGUAGCAAAUCAUAUGGAUGGUUUCCAGAGGCAUUUUGAUUCACAAAUAAUUAUUUAUGGAAAACAAGUCAUAAUCAAUCUGGUUAAUCAGAAGGGCUCAGAGAAGCCACUUGAACAGGCGUUUGCAACAAUGGUGUCUUCCUUGGCAAAUGGAAUGAUCAGAUAUAUUGCCUUUGACUUCCAUAAGGAAUGUAAAAAUAUGAGAUGGGAUCGACUAAGUAUUUUAUUGGAUCAAGUAGCAGAAAUGCAAGAUGAAUUAAGUUAUUUUCUAGUGGACUCUGAUGGCAAGGUGGUGACUAACCAGGAAGGCGUGUUCCGCAGCAAUUGCAUGGAUUGUCUGGACAGAACUAAUGUGAUCCAGAGUCUGUUAGCUCGUCGUUCGCUUCAGGCCCAGCUUCAGAGACUAGGAGUUUUGCAUGUGGGACAAAAGCUUGAAGAACAAGAUGAAUUUGAGAAGAUUUACAAAAACGCCUGGGCUGACAAUGCAAAUGCUUGUGCCAAACAGUAUGCGGGAACUGGUGCCUUGAAGACUGACUUUACCAGAACUGGGAAGAGAACUCAGUUGGGACUUAUAAUGGAUGGCUGGAACUCACUGAUACGGUAUUACAAGAACAACUUUUCUGAUGGAUUUAGACAAGAUUCCAUAGACUUAUUUCUUGGGAACUAUUCAGUGGAUGAAUUAGAAUCUCAUAGUCCUUUAAGUGUUCCAAGGGAUUUGAAAUUCCUGGCUUUGCCUAUUAUCAUGGUUGUCGCCUUUUCCAUGUGCAUUAUCUGUUUGCUUAUGGCUGGGUCUGCUGCAGCUCUGCCACAUGACAUCUGCAUCCUGGGACCCAGAGUGAUGGAACAGCUUCACACAGGAACAUUACCAGUUAUCCUGGCAGAAAGAAAAGGGAGAAGUUUCUGCUUGAAGGUCAAGGUGACAAUCUCUUCUGUUCACAUUUCAUUGGUCAAAGCAAGUCGCAUGGCCAUACUUGAAGUGAUGGAGGGAGGAGAGUGUAGCCCCUGGGGAGGGACUGUGUGCUGGCAUCCGACACAGGCUCCAGUUUUCUUUUCCCACUGGGUUAACGGGAAGAGUCAGCAGAGAGCCUUCCCGACUCCCUCCGUCCUGCUGUGUGGUGCUGCCACCGUCACACAUCAGGCUCCCCUCCACUUGCGGGGUUUCGGCUUUCUGUUCUGUCCCGUUGGCCUGGGUGUUUUCACUGCUGAGAACUCUUCCUCACGCAGCCGUGUCUUGCAGGAUGGCCUGGCUCUUCCCUGAGCUCUGGGCCCCCAGCUUCUCAGUCUGUUCGGCAAAGCAUUGUCUUGAGUGUUUGGAAUAACACGAGUCCUGUGUGCUCAGAGCUGUUUUUUGACAGUAGGGAUCUGUGGUGAGAACCAUUUGGAAACAUUGGGUUAAACAUAGUCAAAGACUUGUCUCAAUUCUCAGACUUGUCAGAGGUUUGACUCCCCUAGAGGGUGUGUGCAACGCAGCAGCACCCAGACUUUUUGGUCUGUGGAAUUUUUUAUUUACAGAGCAUCUCAAUAGGACGAUUCUGUGAAACUGAUUUUGAAUAAGGCUCGCAUGAGGGCGAGCACUCUGGCCGUGGAGUUAAAGAAAACAUGGGCUCUAAUUUAUAUUUGGGCCUCCCUUGUGUGUUGAACUUGGUCUCUUAACUAUAAAUUCUUGGAUUCUCAUCCAUAUGGCAGUUCCCUAGGAUAACACAUGCACACGGACACACCCCUGCUGAGAAACCCAGGUAAAUCAUCUACAGGCGGGAGCUCUUCCUUGAUGUCCAGCUCUCAUCCUCUGUGUUGGACAUCACGCAGAGGCUCCAUAAAUGGGAUUUCACUGCGGGGGUGGAGGGGGAGAGACAAUUAAAAGGAGUUGUGACAUGUUUAAUUAUUACCACGAAUGCCCUGGUCCUGCGUGAACUGGUCAGAUGGCCUGUUUGUUCUUAGCACUUCCCUUUACAGAUUAUUCUGAGCAUAACUUUGUCUUCGCUUUUUGUUUGUUUUAGCCAAAGGCCCAGACAUUCGUCUUUCUUCACCAUUUUCAGUGAUGCGUGCCUGUUGCCUGUUUAUUUUUCUAGCUGUAGGAAGCUAAAGUUUCAUCUAUUAAAAUAUCAUGUUACAUUUUAUGUCCUAAAUUGAGCUCCUAUUAGAUUUCGGUUUAAACAUAGACUCUGAGGUUAGGAGAAGUAGAAAGUACAGGUUGUAAGUCAUGUUUGGAGAAUUUAAGAUGUCCUUCUCCUGACCUUUUGGGAGCACACAUUCUCCUGGGUUCUGUCCAGCUUUACUCACAACUCCGUUGCCCACUGAUGUCUCCUCUCUGCUUUAUCCCUGUUCUAGUUAUCUAUUUCUGGAAAGUAAUCUCACAGUGUUGCGAGUUAGGAAUGGAGCCUGGCACAGCUGGGUGAUCUCUUCUGUUCCAGAUGGCACUGACAGAGGUCACUCAGUGAUACUCAGCUGACAGAGGGGCUGGUCUCUGGUCUGCGCUGGUUUGGUGCUGCACAAGGGUGGGUGGAAGGUGGACCAGCUGGUCCUGUGAGCUGGAGCACCUCCAUGUGGCUUUGCAGCAUGGCAGCCUCAAGGUCGUAGGACUUCAUACCUGGUUGGUUCACGGCGGCCGGAGUGAAAACCAGGUGGAAGCUUGCAUGGUAUGAUCUAGCCUCUAAUGUCCAGUGGUGUCCCUUCCGCCAUAGUCUAUUGGUUGGAGCACUCACAAACCCACUCAGAUUCAGGGGGAGGGACACAGACCCCCUCUCUCAAUGAGAAAGAUGGAAAAGAACCUGUGGCCCUGUCUGGACACAUGUUGGAUUUUUUUGUAGGCUUUGGUCCUAAGCCCUCCUCUCCAUGUACACACUUACCCCAGGUGAUGUCAUUUAGACCCAUGGUUUUAAAAUAGCAUCUUGAUGCUGUGACUCCCAAAUAUAUAUACAUCUAGAUCGGACCUUUCCAAAAGGUUCAGAUUCUAAUGUUCUGCUGCCUACCUGAUACUCCCACCUGAUUCACAGGCAUCUCAAACUCAGUAUGGUCAAGCAGAGCUCUUUUUUUUCCCCCCAGAGCUCUUGAUUUAUACUCUGCAGACUGGUUCCAUGCCGAGUUUUCUCCAUCUCAGGAAAUGCCACCAGCAUCCACCCAAAUCUAAAAGCCAUGAAGUCCAGGGACCAGAACUUUCCCCAGAGCCUACACAGACACUGGAUUGUAAUAUACUCCAUAAAGGCUGAUCCUAUGCAGGGCCCUGGUUCUCAGAUUUGGC